rnacentral:rRNA from 1 species
AGUGAACGCUGGCGGCAGGCCUAACACAUGCAAGUCGAACGGCAGCACAGUAAGAGCUUGCUCUUACGGGUGGCGAGUGGCGGAUGGGUGAGGAAUACAUCGGAAUCUACUUUUUCGUGUGGGAUAACGUCCGGAAAUGGGCGCUAAUACCGCAUCCGUUCUGAGGGAGUAAGGGGGGGAUCUUCGGACCUCACGCUAUCAGACGAGCCUAGGUCGGAUUAGCUAGUUGGUGGGGUAAAGGCCUACCAAGGGGACGAUCCGUAACUGGUCUGAGAGGCUGAUCGGUCACACUGGAACUGAAACACGGUCCAGAGUCCUACGGGAGGCAGCAGUGGGGAAUAUUGGACAAUGGGCGAAAGCCUGAUCCAGCCAUGCCGCGUGUGUGAAGAAGGUCUUCGGAUUGUAAAGCACUUUAAGUUGGGAGGAAGGGCAGUAAGUUAAUACCUUGCUGUUUUGACGUUACCAACAGAAUAAGCACCGGCUAACUACGUG